UUCAGAAACCACGACGUGUAGGAAUCGUUGGGCAUGAGGUGAACACGUGUGUGCACAGGGCCUCACGCUCUGAAGCUCAGGAAAGGCACUCUACUCCAAAAGACCCCAAAGUCCUUUCUGUUCCAGCAGAUGGUGGUAGUAAGGACCUGGAGAAACAGCAGUGCUUGAGUCUGCAGAACCAUGAGGGUUAACUGGCCGGGAAGGGCGGUCUGGAAGAAUGAGUGGCAGAGCUUUUGAGCAAAUGUGUGGAAAAGAAAACAAUCGGCAUAAAGAGAAAAAAACCCAAAUGAACCACAGCAGUGUUUUAAACAA